CUACCCGACGCCGACGCCGAAGCCGCCGGCCAAGGGGCCCAAGCCGGAGAAGCCCCCGACCAAGGGCCACGGCCACAAGCCGGAGAAGCCGCCCAAGGAGCACAAGCCGACUCCGCCCACCUACACCCCGAGCCCCAAGCCCACGCCGCCGCCGGCUACUCCCAAGCCGACGCCGCCCACCUACACGCCGAGCCCUAAGCCCAAGUCGCCGGUCUACCCUCCCCCGCCGAAAGCCAGUACUCCUCCGACCUACACCCCGAGCCCCAAGCCUCCGGCGACCAAGCCGCCUACCUACCCGACCCCCAAGCCACCAGCUACCAAGCCUCCGACACCUCCUGUGUACACUCCGAGCCCCAAACCACCGGUUACAAAGCCUCCUACACCCAAGCCGACCCCGCCGGUGUACACGCCGAACCCCAAGCCACCGGUUACCAAGCCUCCGACACACACGCCGAGCCCCAAGCCUCCGACAUCCAAGCCGACUCCGCCGGUGUACACACCGAGCCCCAAGCCACCGAAGCCGUCCCCGCCGACGUACACGCCGACCCCGAAGCCACCGGCUACCAAGCCGCCCACCUCAACUCCGACGCACCCUAAGCCGACGCCGCACACGCCUAUCCCCAAGCCCACGCCGCCAACCUACAAGCCGGCACCGAAGCCGACGCCGCCGGCGCCCACCCCGCCGACAUACACGCCGCCGGUGUCGCACACCCCCAGCUCGCCGCCGCCGCCGCCGCCGCCGCCUUACUACUAGACGAAGAAGUGAUGAGGUCUCCCACUCUGCUGUCAGUCUCGGAGCAUUUAGGUACGUGCUACAAGAAUGGAGCAUGCACAUACAUACAUACAUACAUACAUUUUCUAUAUAUGCUUGUGUCAAAUGUAUCAUACUGUACUCACUAACAAUCGGUUCCGUUUUUUUGUGUUGCAGAAGGUGAUCGAUCGAAGAGUUUGUGUCCUAGCCAGCCGGCCAAGAUGAGCUGCUGAUGAUGAUGAGAGGCGAGGAGCGAGUCGUACCCCUCCCUCCUCUGUGGUGUGCUGCCGGCCGAUCCAUGCAUCAUCCCCAGCUGCAGGAGAAAAAAUAAUGCAGAGCUCUGCUGCUCCGUCUGUUUCCUGUCCUCCCGUGUGUUAGUUUUUGUGUGUUCGUCCAUGUGUUAGCAGGUGUAUUUGUGUGGGUAAUGGUAUUGCAACUAUUGGUGUAAAACCAUAAUAAAAUGUGGAAAUAUAUGCAAGGAAAAAGCUUGUUCUAGUUCUUUUUUUUUGGGUAUCUUCUGCAGUCUGUCGCAGGCUCGCUGCACCGUAUGGCCUUGAGUCCUCUCGAUGCUACUGUAGCUCUUUCCAUCGAUGACGUGACUAGAUGUGUGGUCACACUGACACCUCUACAGUAAGGCCUUGUUUAGUUCUUAAAAAUUUUUAAGAUUUUCCGUCAUAUCGAAUCUUUGGUCGCAUGUAUGGAGCAUUAAAUAUAGACAAAAAUAAAAACUAACUGCACAGUUUACCUGUAAUUUGUGAGAUGAAUCUUUUGAGCCUAGUUACUCCGUGAUUGGACAAUGUUUGUCAAAUAAAAACAAAAUGCUAUAGUACCAAAAACAAAAAAUUUUGCAAACUAAACAAGCCUAAAAAGAUCGGCCAAGGUCGCGGCAAGCAUGUUGCAUGCAUGCAUGCAAUGCAAGUCUGCGGCUGCGGCGACGUGAGGUGUCGUCACGCGCUGCGACUACGGUCUCGCUCGACGCGACGAAGCCGUACCCAUACCCAUACCCAGACACACACGGGCCAUCCCCAUCCCAUCCCCCGGCCCGGCUCUGCAGACCACCGAUUGCCCAAACAUCCUAGGGAGUAGGGAUGGAAGGAUGCAUCCACCCAUGUGUGUAGAGCUAAAGCAGGACAAAACCGAGAUGCUUGCCGCAAUGCCGCGUCUUCAAAAACCAAAUGCGGUUCGUGGUCGUUAUUAGGCCAUCAUAUUAAAUCUUUCGGUAAAUACAUUAAGUAUUAAAUAUAAAUAUAUAUAAAAACUAAUUACACAGUUUGUCUAUAAAUCGGUAGACAAAUCUUUUAAGUCUAGUUACUUCAUAAUUGGACAAUAUUUGUCAAAUAAAAACGAAAAUAUUAUAUUUGCGAAAUCUAAAAAAAAUUUAGACCUAGUACUACUGGUGAAAGGCAAGGAGCCAAGACAAGAACACUGGUGUAUUUUUAACUGCGGCCUUGUUUAGUUCACCCUGAAAACCAAAAAGUUUUUAAGAUUCCCCGUCACAUCGAAUCUUGUGGCACAUGCAUGAAACAUUAAAUAUAGACGAAAAUAAAAACUAGUUACACAGUUUAGCUGUAAAUCACGAGACGAAUCUUUUGAUCCUAGUUAGUCCAUGAUUAAAUAAUAUUUGUCACAAACAAACGAAAGUGCUACAGUACCGAAAACUUUUCACUUUUCGGAACUAAACAAGGCCCCAACAAAGGGAACACUAGACAGUCGGUGAAUAAAAAAGAUGCUAUACUGACGCUGGUGUACGGCAUGGUAACUUUACCCAGUGGCCAUUGCUGUAAACCUGUAACCAUAUUUUUUUUACUUUCCGUGUUAAGGGCCUGUUUAGAUUGGGAACGAAAAUUUUUUGGGUGUCACAUCGGAUGUGUCGUAAGGAUGUCGGGAUGAGUUUCUAGAAACUAAUAAAAAAACAAAUUACACAAAUUUAUUAAGCAUAAUUAAUCUGUCAUUAGCAUAUGUGGGUUACUGUAGCACUUAAGGCUAAUCAUGGAGUAACUAGGCUUAAAAGAUUCGUCUCGCGAUUCUUAACUAAACUGUGUAAUUAGUUUAUUUUUUUAUCUACAUUUAAUGUUCCAUGCAUGUGUCUAAAGAUUCGAUGGGAUGGAUAAAAAAAUUUUGGAUAGAAAACUAAACAGGGCCUAAAAAGAAUUACCAGUACCCCGUACAUAUAACACAGUGCAUGACAUAAGGAGAUUAUGGAAUAAUGGGGGAUAUUAUCAGGACGGUCUAGUAGAUAUAUAAGGACAUAUGAUACCACAUUUUAGUAGGCGCUCACGGUCACGGUCGACUUGAGUUCACACGGAUGACACAUCAUUUUCUUUGUGGCGGUGUGGCCACAUGCGCAUGUCAGAGAUAAGAUAUAUAAGAGUUAGGCUUGUUUAGAUGUCUUUAAACUUUUAAAAAUUUAUAAAAUUUCUCGUUAUCUUGAAUCUUGCAACGUAUGUAUAAACCAUUAAAUAUAGAUAAAAAAUAAUUAAUUAUAUGAUUUAUCUGUAAUUCACGAGACGAUUUUUUUUAAGUCUAAUUAAAUUAUAAUUGGACAAUAUUUGUUAAAUAAAAACAAAAAAGUACUAUAAUAUCCAAAUCUAAAAAAAUAGAUCUACACAGACCCUUAAACCGGAGAAAAGAGCUUUGCCUUACCAUACCUCUCACCGCUCAGAAAAACAGGCAGGGCAAAUGGCAGGAACAUGCAAAAGUAGCGCGUCAAAAUGUAUAAAAGAUGAACCUAAAAUAAAUGAUUUGUUCAGUACGAAUAAUUUUGGUAUUUUGUUGGGGCAGUUCGACGUAUCAGAAGGGUUGAAAAUCAGAGUUACAAUGUGCGGGAAAUACUUUGGUAGCAAUGUGCACAACUACAGAUCGCGCGCAUAUAAACGUAGGUUUGCCUUUGCGUUCUGGGUUUUCGAUCGACCAAAAUGAGUUUACGGUGACCGCAGCGAGAAAACUUUACAAGAAAUGGCGCGCGUGAUCGCGGUGACAAAAGUAGUACCAGUACAUCCUGCAUGAGAAAAAGAGCAUGCUUUGAUUGGUGGUAACGUGGCUCUUGUCCUCCCUGUGCUGAACAUCGAUGAGAAAAAGCCGUAAAGGAGCUAGCCGUGUAGGGCUUCCCCAAUGGACACUAAUAUGAACAUAGGCCUCAGACUAAAGUAACAUGCCAUACAGGUUGAGCUACCAAAACUUCCAAUGCAGACUACAAGUCAUUAGGUGCUCUGGCCUGACCUAGAAAGUUGCGUCACUUUUCCUUUCUCUCUGUUAGUUUUCUCUCCACUUUCGUUCACAGAAAGUUGUGUUCCGAAAGAUGGAGGCUUCAGCUCCGCAACGCAUUCUCGGAUUGUGGCUUGCCGCAUUCUCGGAUUGUGGCUUGCCGCUUUUGUCAGACGAAGCCAUCGACUCCUCUAGAAGCCUCUCUGACACCCUGCGGCGGGAUACUGAAGCCGAUGAUCUGGACGCUCGGUGCUUACCUAGACGACGGGGCAGUACGCCACAGUGGAGCGAUGGGGAAGCCCUAAGUGUCCUGCCCGGAAGCUCACGCCAUAGAAUAGGACAGUUGAAUUAAUUAAGACGAAGACCUUUCAAAAAGAUAAACCCAAUGACCUGUGCUUUUUUACCCAAUUCUCUGAGGUAUAAAAUGCAUGUGUGUUUUUUUGUUUUUAGAAGUACUGCACACAGCGCGCUUAAGCGUAUCGAUAGAGAUUUGGUGGUCUAGUAGGUACAGCACACUGACCGCAACCUCCCACGCAUCUUGUAAGGAAGGUACCACUGCCCUAGCAUGUUCGGUUGUCUAAAAAAUUAUGAUUAAAAAUAUUAUUCACUAAUUUGUUAUAGGUUGAUAAGCUCAAGAGAACAGACUCUUAAUCUCGCUUUAUAUUGAUUUUUUUUUCGCGAUCGGAGGGUUAGCCCAUUUUUCAUUAAGCGGAAGGUAACAACAUGUUACAAAAGUUAGGCGAAGGCGAAAGACCAACACCAGUAACGAAGCCUAGCUAGGCCUUGUUUAGUUCCCAAAAAAUUUUGCAAAAUUUUUCAGAUUUUCCGUCACAUCGAAUCUUUAGACGUAUGCAUAGAGUAUUAAAUAUAGACGAAAAUAAAAACUAAUUGCACAGUUUGUUCGGAAUUGACGAGACGAAUCUUUUCAGCCUAGUUAGACUAUGAUUAGACAAUAUUUGUCAAAUACAAACGAAAGUGCUACGGUGUCGAUUACCUAAAAUUUUGUAGAACUAAACAAGGCCUACUGGAAACCAAAAUGCAAAUUACAAAGAACCCAAGAACUGCGACCAAGCUGAAGCCGACAUUGAGAUCAAGUGAAACCCUACCAAAGCCCAGUCGCUCGCAUCCAUGGCCACCGCCUUGCAGAUAUCUGUGGCGUCGCUGACCAAAGAGCAUUCAAAGGUUACUGAGUUCCUCUCCUUCCAAAGAGUCCAAGCUACAAGCAGGAACAUGGAGUGGAAGAAUGGUUGCGCCGCCGAGUCGAUUGAAUCCUGUUGUUCAACAAUUUGAUUAGAACCAUAUGUGGUUCUUUUCCAACCCAUGUGUUAGUGAUUCCUGUACGUAGUGCUUGUAUGCCUUCCCCUAGAUAAAAUACCAGGACCUUCCUUUCUUCUUUCCUAGUACGAAGAGGAACAGGUGUCGUCUGCCUGUAAAACUUUUCAUUUUUAUCGCUGCGUUCUGCUGAUUUCGUGGUUAGUACCCGUCUUUGACCGUGGCCUCCCAUGCAUGAUAAACGCACAGCUGUCCUUAAUUAAUUAGUUUUGCUUCGCAUUGAAUGAAUCGUAUUACUAGGUCAACAGCAUACAGUAUUUUAAAACUUUCUUGUGAUGUGGUUCUUUCCAAACUAUGUAUUCAGUGCUUGCAUGCCUAAGAAAAGAUACCAGAACAGCCUUCUUUCCGGUGUCAUUAUAUGGUUAGUUCACCCAAAAACUAAAAAAAUUUUAAGAUUCUUUGUCAUAUCAAAUCUUGCGCCCAUGUAUGAAGCACUAAAUAUAGACGAAAAACAAAAACUAAUCGAACAGUUUGCCUGUAAAUCGCGAGACAAAUCUUUUGAUCAUAAUUAGUCCAUGAUUAGACAAUAUUUGCCACAAACAAACGAAAAUGCUACAGUGAUAAAAUCAAAAAACUUUUGCCGGAAAAGUCAGAAAUGACCUUGCGGGUUCAACGGCUUGUUGUUCCCGGAAAAGUCAGAAAUAAAAUGGCUGGCCAAUUUGUGAAUGAAGUUCGUAAAAAAAAAAUCAGCGAUCCUAGGUCUGUGGAGGAAUAGAUUAGGAGUACUGUUUAACACGUACUGAUUGACCGAUUCGUUGUGAGUUGGUAACAUGGUAGGUACUGUAGCUCCUAGACUCCUAGUAGUAUUAGAGGAGAAAGAAGAUAAUAAUGUCACCCCUAAAGAUGGUGUGCUUUAUAUAUACACUAGUCAUCAGAUAGGCCUAACUUGGAUCGACGACGAGCAGCUAAAUUUAGUAUAGAAUAUGUAGAGUGUAGCUAGAUCGACAAAAGAAAAAAAAAUAAAGACGUAAUUGCGUGGAAACAGCAGAUGAAAGAGUGCGCUCGGUAAUGAACUAAAUGGCCGGUUUGGUUGGCAGUGCUUACAGAGGCCAAGGACGGAGAGCAGCCGAGAGCUCCAUACGCUAGUAGGCUACUGUACAGGGUUUGUGGGAAAAAAAAAACCCUCCGUCGGUCAGUCGUCGGAGCCCCACCACGGUUCCGAGACGACGGAGAGUGGCUGGGGCCGGCCGGCCACGGGGAGCACGGGUGAGAAGGAUCGAGAAAAAGGCCAGGACCAGGACGGGUGCAGGGGCAGGAAACACGCGAGCCACACACAAGAAACAAGCGGGCGAUACCUGCAGAGCUAGCGGUGGAUCGGGGCCACGACAACGGGGGUUGGGGGCUGGGGCUUUGACCCUCCCCUCCCGGGAGGAUCGGAUCGGAUCGGAGGGAGGGACGCAUCGCAUCCCGACACCAGACACCACCGGCACCGGGGGCUCCAUCGACGGACGCGCGGCGCGGGUGAGGAAGGAGAGGACAGGCGGACGCGACCAGGAAACAGCACGCGCGCGAGUGCAAUGCGGAGAAUGAAACGAGCGCGCCGUGGAUGGCGGAGAAGCCGACAACUCGGCCACGGGGACGGGGACGGGGACGUGCCUCCGCCGCUCCCCACCUCUUCUCCAUCCGCGGCGCCUUCCUUGCUAGGGGAAGGGGAGCUGCGUGACUUGUCCACACAUGUACCAGUGUUUCAGCUUGCUUUGUAUUUUUUUUUUUUUUUGCGAACGGUUUCAGCUUUGUAGUUGUAGCCACGACGGCCUGCCUCCACUGUACACCCCCAGCAUUUUUGAUAGUAGUACCGGAGUACAUACAGUACAUGUGAUCAUUUUAGUUUUGUCUUUAAUUUCCUUGCUUUUAUUUUUGCAUCCAUCUCGUAUACUACUGCUACUGCUUGAAGACUUGCAGUUUCCCAUCCCGGCCCAGUGCGAACAUGCAAUCAUUGGCCCGCGCAGGGACACACGGUCGGACGGGCCACACCAGAGGCGAGCAGUGCCGCCGCGUGCACACGGCGUGCCGAGAUGCUCAUCAAUCAUCAUGACUACCGGAGUUCUCCACUGCUACCGACCCAAUGACGAUUCACAACAGUACCAUGCACCGUGCACUACCGUACCACACCAAGUUUCGGAAUCGUCCAUAUUUCUAAUAACAGAUACAUCGGACGUGUGUGUAUGGACACCUCCCUCCCACAUGCAAAAAGCUAGCGUUACGGGAAAUUAGAAAUACACAAGACGUUCCAGAUCGGAUCCAACCUAAAGCACUACACGCAUUGCCUUUCCGAUCGACGACUGACCAUGCCAUUGCAGACAAUGCCGCCCAUGCCGGAACCGUCUCCCUGUCUAGCUUCGCCUAACGUUCAAACUCUAGCUAGCCAUCUCAUGCUGCGCACAUGCCACCAAUAAAGCAUACUACUACGUGCUAGCGGUGUGUUUUACUACAGCUGCCCUCUAGCUAGGCAUGAGCAUGGAUUGCAUGCGCGGCACAAUCAGAAGAAAUUAAGGGAGUGGGCAGCCGGUGCACGGAUAAAAACGGAUCGGAUCGGAGCGGAUAAUAGCUUUCUUAUAUCCUAAUUCUUUUUUCUUGAUUGUUGGAUUCAGAGCGGAUCGGAUAUCAUGCGGAUUCGGAUACGAAUACGGAAUGUCGGAAAUGGUACAAUCUAUCGGACCGGUAUCAGAGCGGAAGCGGACUUUAAAAUCGGAUAAUAUGUGCUUACAUGUUGUUUCUUAUGAUGAGAAACAAUUCAUUAACUAAAGUCAUAAAACGGUUGUGCAACAUAAAAUAAUCACUAUCAAUCCAGCACUUCGAUCUAAGGUCUCAAAAUUUAAUACAAGUUAGCCGUUUGAAUUUAAGAGUAGAAAAAAAUAUGUGAAAUAAGUAAAUAUUCUUAAUUAGGCAAAACUUUGUCUUCACUCUUUGCCUUCUAAUAGUUCUUCAUUUUGGUAAAAUUAUUUCAUUAGACAAGCUUUGUUAUGGGCUAUAAUAUAAUAAUGCUUGUGUCAUGGGCUAUGUUGACUUAUAUUCUUUUUCACUUGUGCUCUAACUCUAACAUGAACUUACAUAUAAUGAUUCUAAAAAUAUCCAAGCAUCAAAAUAUAAAAAAGGUUCAUCUUCUUCCUCCUGCCUCCAUCCGCGAUACUUGCAAGGACCGUGACUGGCCGGGAGUGUGAGAGGGAGGGAGGUAUGGGGUGCAAGAGGGUGGAGGGCGCCGAUCAUGGUGGGGCUUGAGUGGGGGUGCAGUCGUGAACUCAAGUGGGGGCGGAUCAUGCGGUUAUGCUUAGGUGGGGCAUGCAUGCUUGUUGUGGUGGGGGUGGGAGUGGCGGUGAAGCCGAUCCCGGGAGCAAUGACACAAUGCAUGGACAGAGGAGCGAGUGGGGACGAAAAAAUAGAAUGGGAUACAACAAUCGGUAUCUUGUGUAAUAAGUAGCAGUGGUGGGUAUUUUUUUUCUCAAACCUCACCAAACUUUAAGUUUUCAUAGCACCCUUUGAGCUGCUCCAUGAAAUACAUGGAUCUAAGGGUAGAUCCAUGGUUUUUGUGAAGCUUCUUUAUAUGGUGGAUUAUAGUGUGGAUGUAGAAGUGUUUGGCUAGAAAAGGUGGAUCUAUAGAUGUUUUUGUGGAUCUAAAGAUGCUAGAGCUCUUCCAAACAGGCCCCAUGACAUCUCUAGAGAUCCAUCACUAAUAGAUGAGAGUCAAACCUUUUUCAGAGAGCAAAAGAUAGAUAAGACUAGUACAGGGAAGGGCUUUAGCCCCAGGCCGUAAGGGCCUUUAGUCCCGGCUACGGAACCGGGGCUAAGGUUUCGGGACUAAAUGUCCCACCUUUAGUCCCGGUUCCACGGACCACCUUUAGUCCCAGUUGGUAACAGCAAUAAUGUCGUCAGGCUCCAACUGUUCUUCUUCACCUUCUUCCAUCAUUAUCCCGUUUUCUCCAUGCUUGGUCCAACAAACAUAGUUUGGCAUAAAACCCGACUUCAACAAAUGUGAGCGAAUAUUUCUAGAGCUAGAAUAUUCCUUUAAAUUCUGACACAAGGCACAUGGGCAACAUAUGAAUCUGUCCCGCUUGUUUUCCUCGGCCACUCUUAAGAAAUAAUGCACACCAUCAAUGAAUUCUUUGGAGCGGCGAUCGACAUUGUACAUCCAAUGACGUGUCCUUGUCUGCAUUGCAACGUAAAGUAUUAUACUUUUCUAAUUUUUUAUACAAAAAUUAAAGUAACAAAUAACCUAAAAUUCUCUAUUUCUAGUUUUUCUAAACCAGCAAAAUUAAAAAGACAUAAAAGUUCUCUAUUUUCUAACUAAUCAUGAAAUGUGGCAUGCAUACUAGUUAUAAUUAACUAAUUAACCAUGUCAUAAAUUGCAAAUUAAAUAAAUAUAAGUUUCUAAUUUUUAAUAGAGAAAUUAAAGUAACAAAAAACCUAAAAUUCUUUAUUUCUAAUUUUUCUAAACAAGCAAAAUUAAAAAAGCACAAAAGUUCUCUAUGUUUCUAACUAAUCAUGAAAUGUGGUAUGCAUACUAGUUAUAAUUAACUAAUUAAUCUUGUCAUAAAUUGCAAAUUAAAGUAUUAUAAGUUUCUAAUUUUUAAUAGAGAAAUUAAAGUAACAAAAAACCUAAAAUUCUCUAUUUCUAAUUUCUCUAAACAAGCAAAAUUAAAAAAGCACAAAAAUUCUCUAUUUUCCUAAAUAAUCAUGAAAUGUGGUAUACAUACUAGUUAUAAUUAACUAAUUAAAUCGAUCAAAAAUAGCAAAUUAAAGUAUUAUAUGUUUUUAAUUUUUUUCUAAACUAAUUAAAAUAAAAAAUAUAUUAUCACUAUUUCUCUAAAAAAACGUGUCGAUGUUGAAAAGACGAUGAAGCUAAUAACCUCUUAAAAAACCAUAAAAUAAAAAACAACAUACAUAACACUAGGAAAUGACAUAUGCCGCUGCUAAAUGUUGAGAAGAUGAAGCUAGUGACCUCUUAACAAGUCGAUGACGGCGUAGAAAUGAUGAAAUGAAUCAAUAGCCGGAGAUGAGAGCAAGAACAAGCAACUCCAAAUGAAGAACACAGCAAAAGAGUGAAGAUCGAUAGACUCGGCCAGGGGAAGAAGAGUUCAAAUAUGGGGAAUGACAUUUAGUCCGGGUUCUAUUUAAAAACCGGGUCUAAAUUCCAACAUUAGUCCCGGCCGGUGAGACGACCGGGACAACAGCUUUUAAUCCCGGUUGGUGGUAGCAACCGGGACUAAAGGCUAGGCUUUUGUCCCGGUUCGUGAGACCAACCGGGACUAAAGGUUUCUUCUGCCGAUCUCUGACACCAUAGCCGUUGGGCAGGAGACUUUUAGUUCCGGUUGGUGAGUCAACCAGGACUAAAUAUGUUUUUGUUCCGGACGCUGAUUGGGCCGAGAUUAUUGUUCAUUUUGGGCAAGUGACCAAAGGCCUGUUCUGUACUAGUGUAACGAGUCAAAUUGUUUUAGGAUGAAUUUUUUUUCAGCGUAUCUAUAUAUGAUGGAUUUGCAAUGCUUAAUUAGGAGUUAGGACUUGCAGUGAAUCAGAACUCAGUAAUAAUGAAACUAAACUAGAGUAAAUAAAACGACACGAUUGCACACAGCACAAGUCAAAUGUACAGUGCGGAUGUGGAACGGCAAGGCCAAUUUUGUCAGACGACGCACCCAAAAAGGUUUAUUCCUGCCGGACUGCCGACGACGGAGUAACUAUCAGCCACUCGACCGUUCUCCCCGUCCACAAAAUUCUUGGGUCCAGAAUCCAGAUAUCGCAAGGUCUCCAAAGCCCACUCGGUGAAGUUUGGUCCAAACACACCUGCAGCAGCACAGCCAAGACCGAUGGAUAUAGGUCCAGAGCCCAUUAAACUCUCCCCUACCCAUUCAGUUCAGGGGUAGAGAACCUGUCAAAUCUUUUGAAACAAUAGAAUCUGUCAAAAUCUAACCGGUCGCUCAAGAUACUCCCCGGCAAAUCCAAGUCUGAUAACCAUAUCUUAUCUGAAUAUGGGUACAGCGUUUUUCCAUUGGUAUUCUCAAAUUUCGUCGGGGUCUGGCAAGCCGUAGCUUCGUCUCUGCUUCAUGCUUCUGAAUGAGUGAAAACAGUCUAAAUGGAUGCAGGUCCUCUAAAAACGAAAGCGUUUAAUUGGUUGUAUAUCUAGAUGCAGUAAUGUGUAUCUGUGGAUGAAUCACUUUGUAAAAUCCAAAUCAUGUAUCUCCAAAGCCAGGUUUAACGUUCAUUUCAUCAUCACUUUGAAGAGACAAGACUUGCUAAUUGAUGUGCACUCAGCCGUGAAUUUUGCUAAUAAAGUGCCUGCAUGCUUCGAGGUCCAAGAACACGGCAUUUGCGGCCCCGUCGUCCCCGUGAAGCACGGCCCAGUCAAACGCUCGCACAUUCUUGGGAUAGAUAGAUAGCCCUCGAUCGGCAGUUUGUCCACCAGCAGCACCCAACCCAAGAUAAUGGGAUUGGUAACAUCAAACUCAAGAUUCAAACGUCCAUGGCCACUAUAUAAGGCGCGAAAUGGACGAGCAUCAGAGGCAAGCCAAAACCCACAGGCAUGGGCACCAGCACCACCACGAACAUGAAGGGCAUCGCCCUCCUUGUUGCUCUUGCCGCCGCUGCCUUCUCCUCGUGCUGCAGCGCUGCGUCGUCUCCCUCUGCCUUCCCACCGGUAGAAGCACCGGCGGCUCAUGAGCCCUAUGCGGAGGCGCCGCUGGCUGCACACCCUGGUUCUGAGCACGGGAAGCACCACCACCAUGAGUCGGUAGCGCCGGUUGAGCCACCGUCGUACCACGGCUCGCCUAACCACAAACAUCAUGGCCACCAUGGCCAUCACCACCACCACCACCAUGCAGCUCCACCAAGCCCUUCCCCGGCUCAUCAGCCUCCACCGCCCCCAGCUCAUUAUGCACCGCCGCCUCAUUUUCCAUCUCCUCCUGCACACCGUGCACCACCGCCUCCGGCUCACUACGCACCGCCACCUCAUUUUCCAUCUCCUCCUGCACACCAUGCACCACCACCUCCUGCUCACUAUGCACCGCCACCUCAUUUCCCUGCACACCAUGCACCACCACCCCCAACUCACUACACACCGCCGCCGCAUUUUCCAUCUCCUCCUGCACACCAUGCACCACCACCCUCAAAUCACCACACACCGCCGCCUCAUUUUCCACCUCCUACUCACCAUUCACCGCCGCCUCAUUUUCCACCCCCCGCUCACCCUUCACCACCGCCUCCGGCUCACCAUGUACCACCGCCUCAUUUUUCACCUCCCGCUCAUCAUGCUCCACCGCCUUAUUCUCCACCCCACGGUCAUUAUUCUCCACCACCCCCAGCUCACCACUUCCUGCCCCCGCCUCCAGCUCGCUACCCGCCGCAUGUUUCGCCACCUCCAACACACAAAUAUCCACCACCACCGUCGCCUUCUCAUGGUAAGGCACCACCACCACGUGGCCACAGGAAAUUCCCGCCACCAUCUCCAUCAAUGUAUUCAACUAUAGCACCCUCACCGGCAAAUUAUAAUGCUCUCUCACCAUCUGAGCAAGGUCCCAAGAUCCCAUAUCAUGUUGCCCCGAGUAAUGCACCUAUGCCAUGAAGUCAAGAUGGAGCAUCGCCUCCGUGGUAUUUUUGAUGCGAAGGUCAAGAUAAACACUACCUAAGUAAGAUUGCAGUUCAACUUUCAGCAAGAGAUCAAAAGCUCAAUAGCUACUUCGGAAAGAGUCCCUUUUUUCUUAUCAUACUUUAUCAUGUCCAAUCAAAAUGUUAUUGAAUAAAUUAUGUAAUCCAUUUGGACCAUGUUGUCGAUGAAGUCUUAUAUCAAAAUGUCUCUUCAUCCUUUUGUGUUUAUGUUAUGGAACCCAUAUUAUAUAAAUUGUCCCUGUCCAUAAUACUAAUUGUACGCCCCUCAACUUCUACUAAUUGACAUUAGUUAGUUCAAGCUAACCAACAUGAAUUAUUAGAAAUAAAAAAACUCGACCGAGGCGGUUAAGAUUGCCGUCGUAGUUUUCAAAUUAAGAAGAAAGUGUCUUCUUACCUGGAACCCCUCCAGUGCUUUGGUUUGAGGACGAAUGAUGGAUUUUUUAAAACCCAGCUUAAAAUUUGCACCCAUUGGGAUUCGAACUCAGGCCUGGGAGGUGCACCGGAGUGCUUAGACCAACUAAUCUAGCAUCCUUUGGCUGAAUUAUUAAAAAUAGGAGGUAAUAUAUAAUUAUCGUCUAAUUUAUCAAAUCAUUUUUUAUGUCCUCUCAAGGUCAGUGGUGCAAUGAGAUGUACUCCCUCCGUCCCAGAAAUACAUGACAUUAUGGGAUACUUGCUGGUUAAACGUUCUUAACUUUGACUAGAUUUAUAGAAAAUACGUGCAAUAUUUAUAUCUCUAAUUAAAUUUAUUAUGAUAAUAUAUUUAAUGAUCUAUCUAAUGAUACUAAUUAUAUAUUAUAAAUAUUAAUAUUCUUUUAUAUAUAAUUAGUUAAAAUUAGAAAAAGUUGACUUCUCGUGAAACGAGAAUGAGAGUAACCUUUAACGGUUUCAUUGUAGCUAUUAUGGCAUCUCAUAUCAUAUAUACUAGCUGGUUGGAUUACGAAGCACAAGUACAAGAAGAAAAAUGUUUCAAACAAAUUGUAUCUUCUGCUUUAGGCCUUGUUUAGUUCUCAAAAAAAUUUAAGAUUUUCCAUCACAUUGAAUCUUUAGACGCAUGUAUGAAACAUUAAAUAUAGAUUAAAGAAUAACUAAUUAUACAAUUUGUCUAUAAUUUGUGAGAUGAAUUUUUAGAGACUAGUUAGUCCAUAGUUAAACAAUAAUUAUCAAAUACAAACAUAAGUGCUACAGUAGCCAGCCCAAAAUUUUCGCGAACUAAACAAGUCCUUAUUAGCCAAUUACAAUGAAACUUGUAUUGAACUACAUCUCCUUUCACCAAAAAGGUCUUUGUUCCUAAAAAGACCACUGAAACUCAAUGAAGAUUAACCAACAAAUAGUUGUGUGUUUACUUUCACCAUCAGCAAACAAUAUGUUCGCUUGAACUUAUCAGCCGAAUCUGUUAGCCGUUCAGCAAUGUUUUUCUCUUAAAAAAAUCAGCUAACAGCGGACCAUCGAUAAGUUGAUGGUCAGUGUUCCGGGCUGUUGUUGGGCCUGGCAACUACCAUGCCUUUUGUCAUUAGGACCUCAGCCGGGGACCUUUUCUUUGAUGGGUUGUUUCGCCUAUUGAGAAUUGCAUCUCUCUAAAUUUUUCUUAAAAUUAAAUCUUAGAGACAUAUUUGGUGGUUAAAAAAUCCCUACCAUGUAUUUAUUAGAUUUUUUAACGAAAAAUUGAAUAAAAUCACCUUGAAAACUACUUCUAAGUCGUAUAUAAAGGUAAUUAAAGGACAUAAGGUAACUUAAAUAGUUUUAUAAGAGUUUAAGUCCAAAAUUCAACGACAAGAUUUUUUGGUUUCUUCUUUGAGCAACACAAGAAUUUUUGGUUGCUGGGCCUUCACCAGAUAUCCUCUGCUGGGCUUUGUCUGUGUCUCAGCAGGCCCGCCGGUUCGACGAAUCGUGCAAACUUCCAAGUGCCAAGCCGACCAGCCACAAGCCCACAGGCCACAGCCCCACAUUGUGGAGGCGGCGGCGGAGCCUUCUGCCUUCGCCGGAGAGGAACUGGAGCCGCCGAGGUGACGAGGUGGUUGGUGGUGGAACUUGCAAGGGGCGAAGGAGGCCGACGCAGCCGACAUGGUCAUGGGGGGAGAGGGAGGUCGGCGUCCUCGCGGCGCGGUGUUGCCGCUGCCUUGUCGCCUCGUCGGUAGCACCAAGCGCCACCUCGUUGAGCUCGCGUCAGCCUCCCUUCACUUCCUCCUGAGAUCCUCUGUAGGCUUAGCAAGCUAGUAUUAUCGAGGCACACUGUGGUUGAAAAUUAGAAUUGUUGUCAAGUGUUACAGUCAAUUCAAUUAGGGCAAAUUUAGAAUAUCCCAUUCUGGUGAGGCAGAGUGGCACAUAAGCAUCCAUUAUCAUGUUUAACAGAAACAUCUCUUGUGCAUAUUGGACCUUUAGCUGUCCUGAGUAUCUGUGAGUUGUGUCCUAGGACUAAUUUGAGCCCUUUUUAGAUCCCUGUUGGCAAAUUCUAUUGUAGAUACAGGUGAGAAGUGGCGGUGCCAUUUUGAGGUCUAAAUGUCCAAAAUGGCUAGUUAUUUGUGACCUUCAGUGCCAUCUAGAUUAUUUUGAAGCCAAUAACUUUAGUAUAAUGCAUGCAGCUCCACCUACCACUAACAGCAUAAAAGGUAAUCUAUCUGUCAGAUAAGAUCAGGAUCCCACAAUCAACUAGAUGUUGCUUUCGCCUUUACCUUGAUUCAACAUGUUUUUAUCAGUCAUAGUCUCAUAGAAGGAGCCAAUAAUCAAGAAAGGUGUGAAUCUCUUGAUACCAUCGUUAAUCAUACUUUGGUCUUUGGUACCUUGUACUUGUAGCUGAUAUAGUUCUCUGAUUUAUGAAAUGUAUGCUAGCUUGCUUCGGUAAAUUGUUCUUCAAGAAACCUUUGCUAAAAUUCAUGAGGUAAUAUUCAAUUUGUUGAAUUGUAAUAACUAAGGCUGAUGUUCAUCAUACAAAUGGUGUGAAGAUGCUCAGACAUUGGGCUAGAAAAGGUAUGCUGCAUCAUAAAACCAGACCUCUUCCUCUCCCUAUCUUUGUGUGCCUUAUCUGCAGACUGCAGUGACAAAAUUGGGGACCAGAGUUAGCAUAAAGUGAUAUAAGCUUAUCACACUUUAUUUUACCUGUGAUGUGAGUCACACCUGAAUAUUUAAAUGUCACCUUUUUCUAGAAGUGUGUAUGUGAGGUAUGAAUUCACCCAAUCUAUAUAUAAAGAGUUAAUUGUUCUGGUAAUUGUUUCAGAUUAAAUAAAUAUGGUAUGCGAUCUUGACUUCUUGCCUCCAUUGAUAUCUGUACUGUUCUUUUUUAUAUUUCUGUCUGAGCUCUUAUGUCUUAUCUUCAGAUUAUUCUUGAGGAAAGUAUUGGAUUGAAAAAAUGCUGUUACUAGGAAAACACUUUGCAUAUGGUACUUAGUUAUUCUAGAUCAAUCUGUAAAAUCUUGUGUUAGAGCAACUCCACCAGUUGAUUGAAACCAAUCCUAUUUCCCUAUAACCAGCAAUAGAGGGGUCAGAGUAAAAAAUGAGCUCCAUCAGAUCCUCUUUCUAAACCCCUUUCCCCAUUUUUUUUUCUCAGCUCCUCAAAAUCUCUCUCUCUCUCUCUCUCUCUCUCUCUCUCUCUCUCUGAUAUCCGGGUGCUGACACUGCAUCUCUGCAAAGACCGGGCGAGCUGGCAUGCGGGCUGCCACGCCGCGCAGAGUUCUGCGCCACCCAGCCUUGGGCAGGCCGCCGCUACACGCCCUGCGCUGCACUGCUCCCCGCACUGGGCAAGCUGCAUCUGCAGUCAGAGGAGAAGAGAGAAACUGGAGAUGAGAUGAAGAGAUAUUUGUUCAGACACAUGGGUUCCACCUAUAACAUCGAUGAGUGUUUCUCAGUCUGCUAGAGCACAUAUCCCCUGUACUAUUUAAUUCAGUGCAUGUAUGCACUUUCAACUGAAUUCUGGCUUGCUGUAUGGUAUCUGAUGGCUAGAUCACUGUAAAGGCGGCAGCAGCAGUCCUGAACACAUUACUGGGUCGCUUGAUUUUGGACAGGCAGUAGAUGAGAAUUGGCAAGUGAGAGAGUUUGGCCUUGCUGACCUUUUCUAUUCGGUACUGUCAGAGCUCAGAAGUCUUUUUUCAAUAUUAAUAUGGAUGUAAAAACACACUGUUUCAGAAAAAAAAAGUAGUGUAAAGACCUAAUCAACCUUUAUGACUUUUAUCAUCUGCAUUAUCUAUUGAGAUUGUCAACUCUUUUCUUAGUUUUGUAGUAUUUUAAAGGUUUUCCCAUCUUGUUGUGAAAUAUGAACUUUACAUAUGAAUUUAUCGACGCACCCUUUUCUCUUUCUUCCCUCACUUACCAACUUAUCCUACAUUCUCUAUCAUUUAGUAGAUAUUUAUAGCAAAGGUAUCAGGGUCAUUUUCUCUCAUUUUUUGGAUUUCACCUUGUUAAUACUUGUGGCUAUGUUGCGCAGGAGUGCAGGCAAGGCAGAAAUGGCCAGAAGCAUUCCUGUAACUAUGCAAGUAAAUUUUUCUUGAGCUUUUUCUGACUGAGUAAUCUGGAAGCACCACUGAUCAGUAGCCAUACCUUUUAUUCUGUUUUUAUUUCUUUUUCCUGGUUUGCUUUAAUCACUUUUUGUUGAACGAAUGCUCUCUCUCCUGCUGACUAAGUUGAUAAGGUAUUAAACCCUGCUUGUAACUUAAGAGUGACUAGAUAGAUCUAAGGCUCCAAAGCAGAAAGUGAUGGGUUGAGAUAAGGUUAACUAUGGAUAGCCUGGAAUAGUCAUAUGACUCCCACGUAGACGUCUACAACUUCACACUGAAGAUGCAUUGGGCAAAUGCAUGGUUCAAUCAAGGAGUUCGUUGUGCAUAUCCGAAACAGGGACCAUUUUAUAUUUUAAACAUUUUACAGAGCUCAUAUGAUUGUGUUGCUCUCUGCACAUGAGCAUACAACUAGAAAUUGCAUCAUGACUGAUAAGAGGCUAUAUGUUUGUCAGAGAACUGUUGUGACAACCAUUGGUUCAAAUUGAAAUAGAAGUGCUUCGCCAUGUUAUUGAAUCCUCAUCAAAGCAACCAUAGCUGUUAAGUCCACUUGUCUAAAGAAAAGUACUUCCUCAAUUUCAUUUUUAAUGGGGCUACCGAAUCAGCCAUAGUCCCUGGGAACAUGAAACCAUGCCGUGUUCAUCGUCCUAUGGAUGUCUUUCCUGUUUGAAGAACACAGGAGCAAUCUCGUCCCCACCUUGUGGCUUGUCAAAAUCUUCCUGGGAACUUGGUGACUGUGAUCAAUCCUUUCCAUGCUACACCGAUAAAUGAGUUCUCAAUAUGUAAUUGACUUUGCUCCAGCUGAGCUUGUGUAUGUAGGCACCAUGUUAAAGAAGCAUUCAGCUUUGUUUAGGAAGCAACACUCAUAGUUUAUAUAAUGCUCCAUAGAUAACAUGCUUAACAUAUUUUUUGUGCCUAAAUUGCUUUUUGUCGACUAACCACUCAUUCAAGGGGUGCUGCACCUAGUAGGAUGUUGUUGAUAGCCCAAGCAGUCUUAAGCUAACAUAUCAGACUCCAAUUUGCUAGAUUGCUUUUGGUCCACACAAAGUGGACAGGAUCAAAACAGAGCAACAAAGGAUAAACAUAUGCUUUGUGAGUGCGCAACGAAUAUAUAGCUGCUCCAUUUCCUUUGUGUUUAAGCUUAGAUGAUUGCUUUUCCCUUUUUUUUAGUAUUAGCUGCAGUCUUAUCUUUCUUGUAGCUAUAAGUUAAAUAAUGUCGCUGUGGUCUUUGGCUAUAUACUUUAGUCCAAGUUGCCAUCGAUCAGCUUACACAUGAAUCGAGUUAAUUCAAAUUGAUUGACUUAUUCAGCAUGUUCUUUUUCCGCAGUUAGGAGUCUUGUUUGCAUAAAACAAAGAGGAAUUGCACCGAGUGAUAGGUAUUUAUAUUUCUCUUUUACUUAGCUCGAUAAAUAUGACUCCGUAUUAUAGAGAUAAAUUUAAUGCCAAAAAGUGAACAAUGUUUGGUGCCACAUCAUUUCACUUUGCAGGCGUUGUGAGUAUGACGUGUCUUUGCAUGGACCAGCACGUGACUCAGUUCUUGUGAAGUCAUGAAUCCACCAACAGAGGUCAAAUAGCUGACUGCAGCCAGAAUGUUUGCAGCCGCACAUGAUGAUCCUUAAAAUAUUUACAGCCAUCCAGCAUAACCUUAGAGCUGGUUUGAAGAGGAUGCAACCGAUGCAGCUACCCAAAUGGUCAGUAUAUGUUUACCCUUUUAAAAUCGCCAUUUUCCUUUUCCUGACAAAUCUGAGUUGUAGUCUCCACGCUUUGCAUAUGUACUUCUUAGGCCUUGUUUAGUUCAACCCAAAAACCAAAAACUUUUCAAGAUUCCCCGUCACAUCGAAUCUUGCGGCAUAUGCAUGGAGCACUAAAUAUAAACGAAAAUAAAAACUAAUUGCACAGUUUACCUGUAAAUCACGAGAUGAAUCUUUUAAGCCUAGUUACUCUAUGAUUGGACAAUGUUUGUCAAAUAAAAACAAAAGUGCUACCGUUCCGAAAACCAAAAAGUUUUCGGAACUAAACAAGGCCUUAUACAUUAUUAUCAGGCAGACAAGAGAUUGUGCUGUGUGUGGCCCUCUGAUUCCCAAAAACCCACUGAGAUGCAGUCCACUUGCACAAGCAAGGAAGCUUCCAAUUGUGCACAUUCCAACCUUUGCCAAAUGCUUUUUUGUCUCAAUUGGCUGGCAGAGACGAAAGGGACAAGGGCAAAAGAGGCAGCAUUUCAUAUACCAAAUAAAAUAAUCCACAUACUAUAUUAUUGCAGCCUCAAAGAGCCUAUAAAUACUUCAGCGCAGACCCAGUUUAUGAUUCUACAUGAGGCAGACUAAAAACAAGAACAUACCUACGCAACUAGUAGAGAUUUGCACUUGCAGGACUCUGAAGAAAGCUGGGUUUGUGCACAAGGACAUGGAGUACCCAAGAAGGACACUGCUGCACACUCCAUUCUCUGGGCAUCCCUCUAGUCCAAGCCACCCAUUAGAUGGAGCCGCGGCCACAGAUAGUGGGGCUCCAGGAAGCAACUUCGAUGCAAACAUCGUCAUGAUCCUGGCUGUUCUUCUGUGUGCACUGAUCUGCGCUCUUGGGCUCAACUCCAUCGUUCGGUGUGCACUGCGGUGCUCGAGCCAGAUAGUGGUGGGCCCUGAACCAAACCAGGCGACGCGGCUUGCUCAGAGCGGGAUGAGGAGGAAGGCCCUCCGAGCCAUGCCGAUCCUGGUCUACUCGGCUGGGCUGAAGCUCAAUGCUGCUAACCCGAUGUGCGCAAUCUGCCUGUCAGACUUUGAGGCAGGGGAGCAUGUCAGGGUCCUCCCCAAAUGCAAGCAUGGCUUCCAUGUCCGGUGCAUCGACCGGUGGCUGCUGGCGCGGUCAACAUGCCCAACAUGUCGGCAGUCCCUGUCUAGAGUGCAGCAAAAAGCCUCUGGCUGCUCUGAGGCAAGCCGGGCCGAGCCAGAGCCUGCAUCUGCUCGCCCUGUCCUUGUGCCGCUCAGACCUGAAGGUUUGGUAACUCCUUAUGAUUUUUAGAAUGUUCAGUUGCUUCUUAAUUGUUACAUAAAGGUCGAGAAAAGGUAGAAACAAAAAAUUGUGCUCAUUAGAUCUUAAUGCCAGUCUGGUUUGUACAUUGUUGCUGGACAAAAGAUGUAAAGAUUUUUCUAGUUUUUGACUUGAUGUGUCAGUGCCGAUUGUUGCUGGAGAAUGUGCCAUGGACAAUACCAGUUGCUCUGGUGGGCCUUUUUGUGAAUCACCGUUUCAAUGUGAGUUUGUAAAAUGUAAAAAGAAGAGACAUGAUUGGCCGGUCUAAUCAUAUGGCAGUGCUGCACGACCACUAUGGUGAUUGGAGAUCAAGCUUUAGCUGCUACUUCAGAUUUCAGUGGGAACGGCAUAUUCUAUGCCAUUAUGAAGAGGUCCGGGGUUCAGCAGGGCUUGUGAUAUGCUUUGCUUCAAGGCCAUGGUUUUAGAUUUUUAUUAGUGGUCAUCAUGUAUGCACCCGCAGAAUUGAGAGGUGAGCCCACACCCAACUAUACCUGAUGCACAUUGGCUAAUUGUUUGCUAUUUUGUUCGUGCCAUCGUGUGAAUUGAUGUGAGGCCAACAGAAGAAUUGAUAGGCCAAUGAUAGAAGCUCAUGUGCUGUGUCAAAUUGCUAUUGCUCAUGAUAUUUUUCUCUUGUUUUUUGCUCUAAAGGCUAAAGCGAUUAAGCUAGUGCCUUUGGAGAUAGCUGGUUUAGCUAUGUGGCUAUCGUAUCUGUUGCUUUGAAAAUCAACAAGAACUUUGGUUUGUGCUCGCCGAGAAAGAAACUGCCCGGAUGCCCACUCAUAAGAAAGAUACGCUUGUGUGUGUGUUUUCAGAACUUAAACGGCUAUUUGGCUCGGGAAUCUUCAGAAUGAUAACAAUGUUUCCACUAUGUUGUUAUUAUCAAGAAUUCAGGAAUAGUGCUACAGCUAUUCGAAGAGGUCCCGUUUGCCGGAUAUAUUGACGGCACUUUUAAAGAAAUCUGGCAACAGCAUCAGCUCUUUAUUCGCCAAACUAUCCAAGUUUAUGCCAUUUUCAACUCAAUCGUCGAUGUUACGCUGUCAUACCUGUACUCUGUUUUUUUAUUAACGUUUGUUCAGCAAGUUGACAUAAGUUUUCGACGAAAUCUUAUACUAUUCUGCUUGCCAAUUUGUGGCCAAAACAGUUAUUUCUAAAAUAUCUGGGUUGGACCUGAGAAAUUUCUAAAAUACUGCCUCUUUCUAAAAUGCAAAUUGUUUUGAUUUUUCUAGGUAAAAUAGCUUAUGUUAUAUAGAUAUACAUUGUCUAGAUAUAGUAAAUUGAGAUAUCUAGAAAAGCUAAAAAUAACUUAUAAUUUUAAAUGGAGGGGAGUAGCUGAGAGACGAGAUGUAAACAUUUUCACGACACAAUUCAUUCAACAGCAGCAUUGUUUAUUUGUUUUAUUGUUGGCCACAACUUCUCCAAGCUUCACCUUUGUACUCCCUCUGUCUAGGAAAAAAAUAUACAAUUUUAACACAGUGUCAUGGUUUAGUAUCCUAAGUUUGAUUAAUUAUAAAUAAAAAAAUUAUCAAUAUUUAUUGAUAUCAAACAAAUAUCUUAGAUUCCUUACGAAAUGUAUUUCCAUAAUAAAUUAUUUUGGAGUCAUAAAUAUGAAUAAGAUUCACUAGAAAUUUGGUCAAAUAUGAAUUACUUUUACUGGCACUCAACUUAACGGAGUAUUAUAGAACACAUGCAAAAAAAAACAGCUUACAAGUACCCGUAGGCCAUAGCUCUGCAUCCACAUAUUUAUGGAGCUAGAAAUAUCGAAUUCCAAAAAAAUAAAUAAGAAAAAACCCACAAAUGUUUUAGAGUUAGUUAGACCUCUUUUCAAACGAGACUAUUUGGACAAAGAUAAAAGGAUGCAAAUCCAAUCCCCAAUGGUGUUUCCGUGCCGCAUUUUUCAUCUGCGAACUCAAAGGCAUCAUCAUCCGGCGAAAGCGAGUUGAUGCGGCGCUAAAUUUACAGGACGCCCAUCACUCCACGCCUCCACGGGCGAGGUCAGAUCAUGCCGAAAGAUGAGCUGAUCAGGAGUAGGAGUAGGUAACUGGAACUUCAAGAAGCUGUAUAUAUCAUGGCAGGCACGCCAGAUGACUGAUUUAGGCCUUGUUUAGAUGCACUCAAAAACUCAAAACUUUACAAAAUUCUCAAUCAUAUCGAAUCUUACGGCACUUGUAUGGAACAUUAAAUCACACUAUAAAAGAGCGAGUUUUUUGAGAGAUGCUCUCUCUCUAAUAACCGUUCGAUCUGAAUUUCGUGUUAUAUGAGCCUUUCAUCAUACGUGAUCUUACAUAUCUGAAUUUCGUGUUAUAUGAGCCUUUCAUCAUAUGUGAUCUUACAUCUUAUACGUAUAAAAUAUAAACGUCUACAACUCAAUCUCGCAUCACGCACAUACAAUCCUAAAUGGACUCUAUGAUCUGUCUAUUCUUGUGUCACGACUCCACGACUCCCUCUAUUCCCACGUCAACACGUGAAGAAAAAAGAAAUUUGAUCUUUCAAGAUAGAACUUCCUCGUGCAUGUGUGCACUUCAAAAUUAAUAAUAAUAAUAAUAAUAAUAAUAAUAAUAAUAAUAAUAAUAAUAAUAAUAAUAAUAAUAAUAAUAAUAAUAAUAAUAAUAAUAAUAAUAAUAGUAAUAAUAGUAGUAGUAAUAAUAAUAGUAGUAAUAAUAAUAGUAAUAAUAAUAGUAAUAAUAAUAAUAACAAUAAUAAUAAUAACAAUAAUAAUUUCUCCUAGACUCCUCGUAGACCAAGAUUUUUCCUAGACUCCAAAAAGGACCGUUUGAUCUUGACACCGUUUUUGGCCUAGUUCAGUUGGCAAAAACUUUUGGAAAACGACACUGAGCAUCCCCAACCGUUUUGCAAAUAAGCUUUGCAUUCAUGUAUUUGCAAAAAAGUCUUAAAAACACUUAUCCAACGGUUUGGCAUUUAGACUUUGCAAUUUUGUUAACUUGGCAAAAAAGAGGAAGGAUUGAUAUAUGCCAAACCUGUUCACACUUGGCAUUGAAAAAUUGGCGCGAAGUGAUUAAUACCAAACCAUUGGAGAUUGCCUCUUUUCACCUUUGCCAUAUUUUUUUGAGACUUGGCAAACUCCCUCAUUUGCCAAACCAAUUAUGCAAAACGGUUGGGGAUGCUCUAACACUUUCGUUUUUAUUUGACAAACAUUGUCUAAUUAUGGUGUAACUAGGUUUAAAAGAUUCGUCUCGCGAUUUACAGAUGAACUGUGCAAUUAGUUUUUGUUUUCAUAUAUAUUUAGUGCAGCAUGCAUGUGUCGUAAGAUUCGAUAUGAUAGAGAAUCUUAAAAAUUUUUGGGAACUAAACAAGGCCUUAUGUGAGCCUUUCGUCAUUUGAGAUCUUAUCACACAUAGCACACAACUCCUUCUCGGUCUCAAUUAGCACUUGACCGUGUCAUCUACACCGCAUAUGGUAGAGUUAAGGUAGAAUACGUAUAUAUAAGGAAGUAAAGUAGAAUACAUUAUAUGGAAGUAAAGUAAAUAAAGGCUGCUAACACGAAAUGUCCUCAUGUGGAUCGAUGAAGAAGAACAGAUCGGAAG
rnacentral:lncRNA from 1 species